UGUGACCUUAUUUGGAAAUAAGAUCUUUACAGAUGAAAUCAAGCUGAGGCCAUACUGGUGUCCCUGUGAGAAGAGGAGAUUUGAACACAGACACGGAGAGACACAGGAGAAAGGCCACGUGAAAGCAAAGGCAGAGACUGGCAUGAUGCAUCUACAAGCCAAAGAAGGUCAAGAAUUACUGGCAACUACCAGAAACUAGAAGAGACAAGGAAGCUUCCUCCUCUAGCACCUGCAGGGAGAGCAUGGCCCUGCUGCCACCUUGAUUUCAGACUUCCAGCCUCCAGAACUGAGACAGGGCUUCGGAUAAGUUGGGUUGUGGCAAAAUGAAGUCACAUUUCUUGCAAAACCAGAGUUUUAUGAACUGGAUCUAUACCUGCUGCACAGGCAAACAGAGAGCUCCCUGGGGGAUACUGGGAGUCUGUCAGCACUGCUAUGAGGGUUCUGAAGCCACACACAGCACAGAGAAGCACGGAGCAUGGAAAGGACCUCAUUUUAGGGUACCUGGCUGCUGGUUGCUAAAUCCACCUGU